rnacentral:lncRNA from 1 species
GCCUUUACUCGGCGUGGAUUGCGAGCUGUGUGAUUUCGUCCGGUGGCGCGUGGUCGCUCGCCUGCGCACGCCCCCGACCCGCCAUUAAAUGCCUCUUCCACCUACCGCCCCUCCGCGCCGCUAUAAAACCCAGCCUUGUCGCCGCACUUGUCCUCCUCUCGCCCUCAGAUCGACCUCUCUUGCCCUCACUUUCUCCGUCGAUGGCUUGCCCGAACCUGACGAUCGACGGGGCGGACGAGCUGGCGCACUUCGGCAUCCCCGUCACGUCGGACGUGCGGUUGCCAUCGCGGUGGCGACUGAGCGCGGCGGGGGUGCCUGUGCUGCCGCUGCCGGAUGUCUGCUCGCACCUCUUCAUGCGCGCCGUCAGGCUCUACCGGGCGCGGCUGCCGGUGGAUAUGUCAGGCCCUGAACCUCGCGCAUACUGAAGAACAAGCACCAGAUCAAGUUCAGACAAGCAACGGCUAGGAUGAAGCGAUGACGUUUCGGAGAAAUCAAUGGCUCGGAUGAAUCCUCGCCUUUUACCAGUAGUUUUAAACUCUGUACUGCUUUGUAACCGUUUAACGACAGUAACAGAAAGUUACAGCGAGGAGCUGGACUAGUAUAAGAGAACCAGGUCGCGUGAGGGAGAGGCUAAGAUGUAAUUCCCCAUUUCUAGUCAAGAUAGAACCCUAGCUAUGUACGGCAAGACGGGGUAUCUCCCCUCUUGAUCUACCUCUUGUAUCCAAAUUCCUCCAUGAAAUCCAACUUAAUAUCCUGAAUCCUCAUAUCUCCUGCGUUCUGGUAGUUCAAUCAUCACAAAGGUAUCCAGAGCCAUUCGAAUUCUCGGCGACGGCGACGUUGCGGCGGCGAAUCAAGCAGAGAAGGACAAGGGGUUGGGCUCUCUCGUAAAAUCCCUCCCGUCCCUCCCUGUUUGCGGCGGCGGCGGUGUUCGAGUGGAGGCGUCGUGGCGGCGGCGAAUUGCUCGGGCGCAGAUCCACGAGUUCGAGGCGGUUGCUGGGAGACACUCUCCUAGUGCUAAAAUCCCGGUCUCUGACGUGAUCCGUGCGCUACUGGAGGCGUGGAUUGGGAGCUCGGCGAACAGGGCGACAUGACUGUAAGUUCUUGUACCACGGGUCGAUCUACAGGAAUUGAGAUGGCAGACACACGCGCCAAAGUGCAAAUCACAGUGGAUCGUCUGGAGAGUGAGGUGUCUGUACUGCGGACGGAGUUAGCAGAUCUCAAGGAACUUAAGAAGGAAGUAACUCAGAUCCGUGCUGAAAUGGUUACCAUGCCACGGGUUGAAGCCAAACUGACGGAUAUGAAUGCUGAAAUUCAGAAAACUCUGCAACUCAUCUUGCAGAACAUGUCCUUACAAAGUCAGAAAACAGAAGUGGUCACUCCUAGUGCACAGCCUCAAGGGAACACUAGCCUUUCAGUUCUUGGAGCACCACCUGUGAUUACUAUUACAGAUCCCACUGAUGUGUCACUCCCUCCUGUUACUAGAAACUUGGAGCAGGAAUUUACCAUCCAAGGUUCUGUGCCAAUGCGUAGCCUACAGGGAAUUACCUCAGCAUUACCAAAUGCCAGCCUUUUUACGGAGAGCACUAGAGUCAACAUUGACAAGCAGUCAACAAUUCCUAUGCAAAACCAAUUCAGACUAAAUCCUGCAAGCACAAGUGUAGCAGUACAGGCUCAUACACUGGGGUUUUCAGGGAAUAGUGGGUACUUUGCCCCAAUUAGUGCUCCAUUAUAUACUCCUCCUCACACUUAUAAUCCUGUUACUGGGCAAUAUAUUAACAUUUCCACGACUGGCUCUGCAGUACCACCAGUGUACCAAGCAGUGGGAAAUUUAUAUGAUGCCCAAAGAAAUCAGUAUGCCACACAACUAGGAGGUCCAUCUUACUUUGCAGAAGCAGUGUUGAAGGGCCCAAGGCUGGAAAUUCCACUGUUUAAUGGAGAAGAUCCUAUAGGUUGGCUCAUAGCCUGUGAGAAAUUCUUUGAUAUGUCAGGAACCCCAUAUGAUCAAUGGGUAAACCUAGCAACAGGUCACCUACAAGGAAGAGCUUCUAAUUGGCUGAAAAAUAUAUGUGUGCCCUGGCAAAUGGUAACAUGGCAGCAAUUCUGCCAAAUGAUCGCUGACACAUUCUCGGAAGCCAAUGUGCAUGAAGCAGUGGAAUUACUAAAAAACAUUCAACAGACAAAUACAGUAGCUCAAUAUAUAGAUAAUUUUGAGCAGUGUGUAGCUUUGGUCAAAAGAGAUCAUCCUUGUUUGCAAGAGAAUUUUCUGCUCAGCUGUUUCAUUGGUGGACUUAGAUCUGAUAUUAAACAUGAGGUGUGUGGUCAAAAACCUACAGGCAUUAUUUCAGCUUAUUGGUAUGCCAAAGUGUAUGAAAAAGCAGCAGCAGCCAGAAAAGUCCAGUCACACACAUCCUACAAACCAAGGGGAUAUCAAUCAAAUUACAAACAGUCAACUGCUCCUCUACAGGUACAAGUACCAGCACAGGAAAAAUAUACUGUGCCAUUUCGUAAGGAUGCAAGGGCUUGUUGGUAUUGCAGAGAACCUUGGUCAAGACAGCAUAAAUGCAAAAUUGGGAAGGCACUACACAUAUUACAAGAGUUGGAUGAUGAAGAGGACAGUGAUAGUGCAGAAGAAUGUCAGGCACAAGAACAGAUCUACCAUACUGCUCCAAAUACACCUGACAAGGAAAAAACAAAUGACAACACAAUAGAGAAAACUACACAAGCAAUGCAUAUCUCUACACAUGCUGCAGAAGGCACUUCAGGAGCAAACACAUUCUCCUUAAUCAUAGAGAUUGCAGGCAAAAGGGCUACAACUCUGUUUGACAGUGGAUCUCCGGACACAUUUAUGAGCAAAGCAUUUGCAAUAAAAAGUAACUGCCAUCAACAACCAAUACUGCCCAGGAAAGUAACUGUAGCAGGUGGGGGCAAGUUACUGUCCAUGUCUCAAGUACCUGUCAUGGAUUUUAAGGUACAAGGUCAUACAUUCUGCAGCAAAUUCAAGGUACUAGACUUAGUAGCCUAUGAUAUCAUCUUAGGAGCUGAUUGGAUAUAUCAGUACAGUCCUAUUUGUCUGGAUUUGGUGGAAAGGUUGUUGGUACUCACUAAGAAUGGUCAACCAAUAACACUGUUUGAUCAUACCAUCCCCAAGAAAAGGUGUCUGCUGUCAGCAGCCAAAAUGGAGAAGUUACUGCAGAAGGGAGUCAUGGGUUAUAUUCUCAAAGUGCAAGAAGUGGAAACAGAAAAUAACAAAGUUCCUACUCCUCCUCCUACAGCUUUACAACCUCUUCUUCAGAAGUUUGCUGACAUUUUUGAAGAAUCUCAGAAACUACCUCCCAAAAGAAGCUGUGAUCACAGAAUUAUCUUGCAAGAAGGAGCUAAACCACCAAAUUUAAGACCUUAUAGAGUUCCUCAUUAUCAGAAAGCUGCUAUGGAAGAGAUCAUCAAACAACUCAUUAAAAAGGGAGAAAUACAAGAAAGUUUCAGCCCUUUUUCCUCACCAGCUAUUAUGGUCAGAAAAAAAGAUGGAGGAUGGAGACUCUGUGUGGAUUACAGAGAACUCAAUGCACUGACUAUUAAAAACAAGUUUCCAAUGCCUAUCAUUGAAGACUUGCUGGAUGAGCUGUAUGGAGCCAAAGUUUUCUCCAAGCUUGAUUUGAGGUCUGGAUACCACCAAAUCAGAAUGGCCCCUGAAGAUAUUCCUAAAACAGCAUUUAGAACACAUAUGGGCCACUAUGAGUUCACUGUAGUGCCUUUUGGGUUAUCUUGUGGUCCUGGCACAUUUCAGGGUCUGAUGAACAGUGUAUGUGAUGAAAUCAAUGAACCUGAGCAGGAGAAAUUCAUUUUAGUUUUCUUCGAUGAUAUACUCAUUUUCAGCAAAUCUUUAGAGGAGCAUUAUAGCCACUUAGAAAGGACAUUUGCAACAUUGAGAAAGCAUGAACUGUAUGUUAAACUGACAAAGUGCACAUUUGCCACAGAACAAGUAUCUUAUCUGGGUCACCUUAUUUCUGCCCAAGGAGUGUCAACUGAUCCAGAGAAGAUAAAAGCAGUCCAGGAGUGGCCAGAGCCUGAGAAUACAACCAAGUUAAGGGGAUUCUUGGGAUUAACAGGUUACUAUGGAAGGUUUGUCAAAGAUUAUGGAAAAAUUUGUUGACCUCUGCAUGAUAUGCUGAAGAAAGAUGGGUUUCAAUGGGGUACUGCUCAAACACAAGCUUUUCAACAAUUAAAAAGAGCUAUGACCACCUGCCCUGUAUUAGCACUACCAGACUUCACUGUACCUUUCACCAUUGAAGCGGAUGCUUGUGCAAAAGGAUUGGGAGCUGUACUCAUGCAAAAAGGAAGGCCAAUUGCAUUUCUCAGCAAAAGUCUGGGGCCAAAAUCUGCAGCACAAUCAAUAUAUGAAAAAGAAGCCAUGGCAAUUUUAGAAGCAUUAAAAAAAUGGAGACAUUAUGUUUGGGGAAACAAAUUGAUCAUUAAGACAGAUCAACAUUCCCUAAAAUAUAUGACAACUCAGAGGCUGACUGAAGGAGUUCAACACAAAUUGUUGUUGAAAUUGCUCGAAUAUGAUUACACCAUUGAGUACAAGAAGGGGAAAGAAAAUGUAGUGGCUGAUGCUCUUUCAAGGAGGGAUACACUUCACUCUAUACACAGUCAGAACACUACUAUCAUUAUCCCUGAGUGGACUGAAGAUGUGCUUCAAAGCUAUCAAGGAGAUAAGGAUAGUGAUAAACUGCUGAAGAAGGUGGCUGCUGAUACAGAAGAAACCCCAAAAUUUUCUACGCACAAUGGACUCCUGAAAUACAAGAACAUAAUUUAUGUGGGUGCUAGCACUGAGUUCAGAAAGCAACUCUUACAAACUUUUCAUUCUUCUGCUCUUGGAGGUCAUUCUGGAAGUAAAGCUACUUAUUACAGAAUCAAGAAGGUUUUCUAUUGGCCCAAUAUGAAGAAACAGAUAGAAGAGUUUGUCAGCCAGUGUCCUGUGUGUCAGUUAAACAAGGUGGAACACAUACACCCUCCGGGGUUACUACAACCUCUUCCAAUACCUGACAUGGCUUGAGCUCACAUAACAAUGGAUUUCAUCUCUGCACUUCCCAACUCGCAAGGCAAAGAGGUGAUUCUGGUAGUAGUAGACAGGCUGACCAAAUACGCUCACUUCAUUCCACUGGCUCAUCCCUACUCAGUUAUGACCGUCUUUGAGGCACUGAUGGACAAUGUCAUUAAACUGCAUGGGCUUCCUGUUUGCGUUGUAUCUGACAGAGAUGCUAUUUUCACCAGCUCUCUGUACCAGGAACUAUUUUCAGCCUUUGGAGUGCAAAUCAGAUUCAGGACCGCAUCACACCCUCAGACCGAUGGACAAACAGAGCGAGUGAAUCAGUGUCCCGAAGCAUAUUUAAGAGGCAUGGUUUUUCAAGAGCCGAAGAAGUGGAUGAAAUGGCUACCACUAGCAGAACUUUGGUACAAUACGAGUUACCAUUCUUCACUGAAAUGCACUCCAUUCCAAGCACUUUAUGGAUACAAACCACCCCAAAUUGGAGAAUAUUCUGUGGAACCCGCCUUAUCUCCAGAAGCAAGGAUGACAAUUUCUGAGAGAGAGCACAUGAUGCAAAGGUUGAAGGCAAAUUUGAAACAUGCUCAAAACAGGAUCAAAUACUUUGCUGACAGAAAAAGAACAGAAAGAGAAUACCAAGUGGGAGACAUGGUAUAUCUCAAGAUACAACCUUACAGACAGAAUGCAUUUGGUUUAAGAGGAUCUCUGAAACUAAGAUCAAAGUUUUAUGGCCCUUACAAGAUUCUGGAAAGAGUUGGGGAAGUGUCAUACAAGCUACAGCUCCCAGAAGGUACCAAUAUCCAUCCAGUUUUCCACAUCAGUCAGUUGAAGAAACAUGUGGGGCAUCAAGCUGUACCUCUGCCUCAUGUGCCCCUGGUCACACCAGAAGGUUAUAUCAAAACGAUACCAGUCGCUGUCCUAGACCGCAGAAUCAUUCAAAGGAACAAAACACCAGUUGGUCAAUGUUUGGUCCAAUGGGAGAGUCUGGCACCGGAUGAUGCCACCUGGGAGGAUGCAGCAUUCUUGAACAAGACAUUUCCGGGGCAUAAGCUUUUUCGCCUCGAGGACAAGGCGAUCGUCAUGGCGGCGGCAUUGUCAGGCCCUGAACCUCGCGCAUACUGAAGAACAAGCACCAGAUCAAGUUCAGACAAGCAAUGGCUAGGAUGAAGCGAUGACGUUUCGGAGAAAUCAACGGCUCGGAUGAAUCCUCGCCUUUUACCAGUAGUUUUAAACUCUGUACUGCUUUGUAACCGUUUAACGACAGUAACAGAAAGUCACAGCGAGGAGCUGGACUAGUAUAAGAGAACCAGGUCGCGUGAGGGAGAGGCUAAGAUGUAAUUCCCCAUUUCUAUUUAAGAUAGAACCCUAGCUAUGUACGGCAAGACGGGGUAUCUCCCCUCUUGAUCUACCUCUUGUAUCCGAAUUCCUCCAUGAAAUCCAACUUAAUAUCCUGAAUCCUCAUAUCUCCUGCGUUCUGGUAGUUCAAUCAUCACAACCCUAGCUACGCCCUGAGAACCACAAAUGGCCGGCACUGCUCGUUAAGGACCGCGAGCAGCGAUUGCACGCGUUUUAGGGCCUUUGGCCGCUACUGAAGCACAACUGACGCCGGCAGCAUGAGAUUUGGGGUGGCCGCACAUUUGAAGAGGUGGUGGUCCCGUACCACGUGCAGGCGGCCGCCGAUGCCAUUCCACAGCAGCCCGAUGGAGGUUACCAAGCGUUUUGCCGUGGCGAGGAGCGGUCUACACGCGUGUCAUUUGGCGCGGGGGCACGCAGAGCACGCAGUGACCACGGCGACGCGCGUGGUGGCCACAGAUCUAUCUAUCUCGGCGAAGAUGACCGCCGCACCGCGGUGCACGGUGACACGCGACACGAUGCUAGGUCUAGCCGCGCCCCUCAAGUAGAACUAGAGCCGGCUACUAGAGCCGGAGCCGGAGCAUGCCCUAGUGGUGGAGUAUCGCCGGCUGGCGGCGGAGGCCGGCGACCCCGACAACAUGCCCGGCUACCUCUCGACCAUCCGCGAGUCGGAGAUGGCCCCGUUGCCGCCAUCACUGGUGCAGGAGUACAUGUGGGUCGCCCUACCGUCGGCCACCGGAUGACCCGCCGGACUUUAGGGGGUACAACGCCGCGGUCGCGUACUCUCUGGCGGCGCCUGUUGUGGACAUAGAAAACGAUAGUAGUGGAGACGACGACGACAUCGAUGGCGACGACCUCGGCGGCAUCUCUGACUCGUAGAUUAGGAUUAGCUAGUGUUUAUUUCGAAUUUCGUUCAAAAACUAUGUAAAUUUCCUACAAGUUGAAUGGAAUUCCGAUUAGUUUGAAAUGUUUGAUCAAAUGUUGUGAUGUUUCUUAAAUUAUUUUGGCAUUUUGAAAUAAAAAAUUUGAAAUUGUGAAACUAAAGAUAAAAACCAAAAAGAAAAUCAAUGUAAAAGACAGAACAAAAAAGAAACAAAAAAGUAAAAAAUAAAAAAAUGAAAAGGGAAGGAAAAGUAAAAAAGCAGAAACGUCGACAAAAAAGAAAAAACAAAAAGAUAGAAACAAAAGAAAUGAAAUAAAAGAAAAACCGGCGAGGGUGGUGCGGUUGGGCCGGCUGAACAGGCGCCCAACAUGGCGUUCCAAUCGGCCCAACGGGCGAACUAGGCCGAAGUUUAUUUUCUCUUUUCUUUAUUAUUAAAAUUGUUUUUUCUGUCUAGUGUUUUAUUUAGUAAGUCGUUAUAAUAUUUGAAAUGUUGUUACAAAUUGUCAACAAAAUGUUCUUGCUUAUAAAUCUAUUUAUAAUUGUAAAAAAUGUUCUCGUAGUUAAAUUUGUUGUCCGGUAACAAUUUGAUUUAUUUUACAAAAUUAAAAUUGUCAUUUUUAAAAUAAAGUAAAAUAAAUUAAAAACAGAAAAGAAUUAUAAAAUUGAAUAAAAUAUGAUUUGUUUUGUAAAUUUGAUUUUCUCAUUUUUAAAAUAGGACAAAAUUAAAUGUUCAUGUUUAUAAAAAUGUUCUACAAUUUUGGAAAAAGGUACUAUUUUGCGUUUGUAAUAAUUUUAAGUUAUUCUGAAAUUGUUGGCGGUUUAAUUAAAGCUUGUGUUGAUAUUAUUCGUUUGUAAAAAAACAUAAAAUGUCAAAAAGCAAUGAAACUUGGCAUGAAUGCUUGCCAUGAUGAUAUAAGUCUGUAGAAAAAAUUGUAUCCAUUUGAAGGAUGUAAAAAAAAACGUGCUCUGAGACGGACCCUUCAGUACUACUCAAACGGCCUGCUGUGAACAUGGUUCAUUUUUUGUCAUGUUCAGAAUGACACCAAAUUUACCAACAAUUGUACAUGCCCAUGGUAGUCCUCCAUACAAGGUUUGAACGAAUUCUAACAUUGUAUUCAUACUGCAUCACGUCCGGGCAGUUUCUAGGAUUUUUCAUGGUGAAAAAAAAUAAAAAA